rnacentral:miRNA from 1 species
GGGCAGAAACAAGAGAAAGACAGAGAGAGAGAGAGAGAGAGAGGCGGACAGGGGGGGAGUCAACUCGACUCCGACACGAAACUAUAAAUGUUAAUAACCAGCAACAUUGUUACUAGUUCCUUCUUCCUCUGCGCCGCUUCCUGCUGUCUGUCGAGGGGCCAUGGCGGCAGCUCCAGGUCAGUCCUGGAGUCCUCUUUCUCGCUCUCUCUCUCUCUCUCUCUGCCUUACCGUAUGCCUGUCUCU